rnacentral:rRNA from 1 species
CCUACGGGUGGCUGCAGUGGGGAAUAUUGCGCAAUGGGCGAAAGCCUGACGCAGCGACGCCGCGUGAGGGAUGAAGGUCUUCGGAUCGUAAACCUCUGUCAGCAGGGAAGAACGGUCACGGUGCUAAGCAGCAGUGAAUUGACGGUACCGGCAAAGGAAGCACCGGCUAACGCCGUGCCAGCAGCCGCGGGAAUACGGAGGGUGCGAGCGUUAAUCGGAAUUACUGGGCGGAAAGCGCUCGUAGGCGGUAUGUCAAGACAAGGGUGAAAUCCCCGCGCUCAACGUGGGAACUGCCUUUGAAACUGGCAAACUGGAGUGUGUGCGAGGAUAGUGGAAUUCCUGUUGU